rnacentral:rRNA from 1 species
AUAUUUCUUCUAAAGCUAAAUACCGGCCAGAGACCGAUAGCGCACAAGUAGAGUGAUCGAAAGAUGAAAAGCACUUUGAAAAGAGGGUUAAACAGCACGUGAAAUUGUUAAAAGGGAAGCGCUUGUGACCAGACUUGCGUCCGGUGAAUCACCCAGCUCUCGCGGCUGGGGCACUUCGCCGGCUCAGGCCAGCAUCAGCUCGCUGUCGGGGACAAAAGCUUCAGGAACGUAGCUCUCUUCGGGGAGUGUUAUAGCCUGUUGCACAAUACCCUUCGGCGGGCUGAGGUACGCGCUCCGCAAGGAUGCUGGCAUAAUGGUCAUCAGC